rnacentral:rRNA from 1 species
GAUUUCUGGUGUGAACAACCUGACCCAUCAUGCUUACAUGAUUGUGUGUCGGUGUUGAUCUGCCAUCACUUCUAGAGAACAUUCAUCCUCUUCAUUGAGCGUGUGAAUGCUUGUCUAGAUCUUUUACUUUGAAAAAAUUAGAGUGUUUCAAGCAGGCUUUUUGCUAUGAAUACAUUAGCAUGGAAUAAUAAUUUAGGACUUCGGUUCUAUUUUGUUGGUUUCUAGGACUGAAGUAAUGAUUGAUAGGGAUAGUUGGGGGUGCUAGUAUUCAGCGGCCAGAGGUGAAAUUCUCGGAUUCGCUGAAGACUAACUUAUGCGAAAGCAUU